rnacentral:rRNA from 1 species
CAGCAGCCGCCGCGGUAAUACAGAGGGUGCAAGCGUUAAUCGGAAUUACUGGGCGUAAAGCGCGCGUAGGUGGUUCGCCAAGUUUGAUGUGAAAUCCCCGGGCUCAACCUGGGAACUGCAUCCAAAACUGGCGAGCUAGAGUAUGGUAGAGGGUGGUGGAAUUUCCUGUGUAGCGGUGAAAUGCGUAGAUAUAGGAAGGAACAUCAGUGGCGAAGGCGACCACCUGGACUGAUACUGACACUGAGGUGCGAAAGCGUGGGGAGCAAACAGGAUUAGAGACCCCCGUAGUCCCUGUCUCUUAUAC